GGCUUAGCUCAAUUGGUAGAGCAACUGACUUGUAAUCAGUAGGUUGGGGGUUCAAGUAAGAGGACUGAAAAUCCUCGUGUCGGCGGUUCGAUUCCGUCCCGAGCCACCA
rnacentral:tRNA from 1 species